GGUAGCAUGGCCGAGCGGUCUAAGGCGCUGGUUUAAGGCACAAGUCAUUUCGAUGGCGUGGGUUCGAAUCCCACUGCUGCCA
rfam:Ciona savignyi cont_35026, whole genome shotgun sequence.